ensembl:lncRNA
GCCUGGAGCAGCAGAGGGGUAAUGCAGGCAGCGGCGAAGCAGCUGACUGGGGACAGUCUGCCACUCGACACAGCGUUAUCGAUGUAAUUACACAAAGGACAAGUUUUCUAUUUGAAAAAAGAGCCAGAGUACAGGAGGCAGCUCCCGCCAAAACAACAGCCGUGUUGGCAGCACCAGUCACUCCUGCUGCUGCUGUUGGUGUCCAGGCAUCCUGGCAUGAGCUGGCUUUAUGGAUCCCAGCUGGGCAGAAUGAAUGAGAAGCCUGCCCCUCUACUGACCCCAGGGAAGUACACAAGAGGCAUCAGUCACUUCCCAGAAACUGUGUCCUUUUAGGAGAACUCUGGCUGGCCGCUACAAGGAGGAGGGGGACCCAAGGGUGAUAAAAGAGCCUGCAGCAUGCCAUGCCCUUCUGUCUGAAACCAUGGACGGUCCACCGGAUGAAGUGCUGGAAAACAAGCCCAGAGCAGGAAGACUUCUGCCAGACCUGUAUUAAUAGAAUGGGGACAACACGGCAGAACUCCAAGUUGUGGAAAAGAAAAAGUGAUUAAUAAGAGCACUUAUCAGAAAUGAUCAAGGCUAAGGACUUCCCUGGUGGUACAGUCUUAACCACUGU